AGAGUUUGAUCCUGGCUCAGAUUGAACGCUGGCGGCAUGCCUUACACAUGCAAGUCGAACGGCAGCAUGAUCUAGCUUGCUAGAUUGAUGGCGAGUGGCGAACGGKUGAKUAAUGCAUCGGAACGUGCCCUGUAGUGGGGGAUAACUAGUCGAAAGAUUAGCUAAUACCGCAUACGACCUGAGGGUGAAAGUGGGGGACCGCAAGGCCUCAUGCUAUAGGAGCGGCCGAUGUCUGAUUAGCUAGUUGGUGGGGUAAAGGCCCACCAAGGCGACGAUCAGUAGCUGGUCUGAGAGGACGAUCAGCCACACUGGGAYUGAGACACGGCCCAGACUCCUACGGGAGGCAGCAGUGGGGAAUUUUGGACAAUGGGCGAAAGCCUGAUCCAGCAAUGCCGCGUGUGUGAAGAAGGCCUUCGGGUUGUAAAGCACUUUUGUCCGGAAAGAAAUGGCUCUGGUUAAUACCUGGGGUCGAUGACGGUACCGGAAGAAUAAGGACCGGCUAACUACGUGCCAGCAGCCGCGGUAAUAC
rnacentral:rRNA from 1 species